GUGCAUAUCAGAGAACUUCCAGUUCGCAGUUGAAAAUGGAUUGUUUCAUGAGUUAUCACAUAAAGACUUUAAAUUUUUGUUGAAUAAUGAAAAAUUAACUGUUUUUAAACAUGGAAUACCAAUUGAAAAUUAUGAAGCAUGUAUAUUUGCUUCAUUAGGUAAAUAUUUAUCUGCUAAUAACGUGGAAAAUGACGAAUUAGUAGAGGACUUAUUAAGCGUCAUCCGUCUUUCUGACAUACCUUCAGAUAUGUUAGAAAGUAUAACAAAUAAAUAUACAGUCUUUCAUGCUUUUAAGGCACGCAUAUGCACAACACAACGAACGAAUACACCACUUAGUAGAAAGUAUUCCAAAUCCGAAAGAACUAUAGUUCCCUAUCAAGAGUAUGCUUCCAUUCCAAAAAUGUAUUUGGAAAAAUAUGGAUUUGGAAUUGUCAAUUGUUUUAAUGAUUCGGACUUGAUUAAGAUAGAUGACCGACCUAUUACAAUUGGAGUAUGGAUCGUAAAAUGGGAUGGUAUUGAUCUUUUAGGUGGAUUACAUAUUCAUUACAAAAGUGGUAUACGUCUAGUUCAUGGCACAAAACCUGCGAGACAUGAUCUUGUAAACGAACACGAGUUCACUCUUUACGAGGAAGAAGUUGUGACGAAGAUACUUACAUGGCAUGGUAUGUUUAUUGACAGUAUAACUUUCUAUACAAAUAUGCUCCGUAAAUUUGGCCCGUAUGGUGGACGUGGAGGGCACAGAAGCGAUUGGGAUAAACCACCUAGCAACCAUGGCUAUUUUCAUUCGUUCAAGGGCAAGGUAGUUAAACAUAGAUAUGCUAAUUCUGUAGCAUAUUUACAGUUUAACUGGGUUUCUUAUGGGAAAGAUGGUUAUAAGGAAAUUUUGCCCACCGAUGAUAUGUUUAGUUGUGAAAGAACACAUGGGUUUAACGAAAUUGAUAGAAUAAAUGAUAUAGAUUAAAAAAACAAACAAUAAUUAUUUACUCCUUUAUCUAGCGUGAUAACCAUUUUGAUUACCUUACGUCGAAAAUCAUGGUUUUGUUUAUAAUUUCUUGCUUCCCUAGUUGUUAAAUUCUUAUACGUGUGUUAAUAUUCAACAUAAAAGUAAGACACUGCACGAGACUUCCGAAUUCGAAGCGCACUAUAAUCAAAUGGGAGGAGCAAAUACGUAUGUUGUAUAGUGAUUAAUGGGUGGAUGGAUGUUUUAAAGGUCCGAUUUUAACUACAACUUGCAUUUUAAGGAAUUAAACAUACAGUUGUCAUGUGUAUAUAAAUUCUGCUUUGCACUAGAUCAUUCCUUAAUUGAACAACAAAAAGACCAGUCAGUCUAUGCUCUAACUGUGAAAGGAAGGAAACAAUAAAUGUAUGUCUCCGACCCGACCCCGAAUACGAAUAAGAAUAUGACUGGAAGAAAUAUAUGUACGUGCUCGAUCUCAAAAUAAGAACAUAACGACAUAUUUCAUUUUGUUUGAAAUUUGUUUUUUCCCGUUUGUUAUUUGUAUGACUUUUAUAUAAAUAAGAACUAGUUCAACUAGUUUUGAACCAGUCCUUUGUAUGAUGCAUAUGCCACGAGAAACAUUUUGGCGGUUUGAACAGAUGCCGCGGGUAAUAAAACUAUAUACAGUUUGGGAUUUAAAUGUAUCAGUAUUGACGGUGCUCGCAAUUACGACGAUUCGAAGUUUGUCUGAUUUGUAUACUUUUGCUGAAACGUUUAUGGUGUCCAAUACAGUCUCUGACCAUGAUGAUUUGAGACAAUUCAAUAACACGGUAAAAAAAACCAUUACUGAAUUUAUAACUCAUGGUGCAGUGUCGUUGUAUUAUAACUGUUUUAACAAAUACUCCAAAACAGCAAAUAGUCAACUUGAUCAACCUUUUCGAGGGCCGUUUGUGUUUAAAAUAAAGGAAAAUCGUAUUAUAUGACUAUUCAAUACAGAAAGAUCUGAGACAAUGUUAGGAAUAGCGAAGUACUUCUAACUCAUACGUACAUGCGAUGGAGGUAUUAGACAUUAAGAAGGAAACGUUGCGGAAAAAUACAUAAAUUCGCGUAAUAAACAUUAAUGGAACAGUCAACGAAUACCUUGAUAGUCAUUUGCCUGAUGAUAAAGAAGGAACAGCUAAUUUGUGGUCUGCUGUUGCUAGUGGAUCAAGAAAAGGAAUAUCCCAAAACAAUAUGGCCGUCUUAGCAAAAAAAAAUUAAGAACGUGGUAAUAAAUGCAAUACGAAGAAUUUUUCCGUCGGAUGGUCAAAACAGUGGAUUUUUUGGCAAUCACAAAACAGCUCCGGGAAAUGCGUUUACUAUUAUCAACCAAGACAUUUCGCCAAUGGUUCUGUUCAUUCAAGCAACAGUCAGCAAUGCCCUUAAGGAACAGAAAAAUGACAGUAAAGAACAGACUGUUCAAUACAAUACAACAAAUGAGGUUAAGUAUCACUUUGAGUUUAUUAACAAUUGUGAAAUUAAGUCUGAUGAUCAACUUAUUUAAGUUAAACGGAAUUUGAAAAAAAAAAUGUUUUUACAGACAGAUGGUUUCAUCUUACAUACUGUAAAAUUUAAUGUUUUUUUACAACUGACACGUGUUCUAUACAUUUAUCAAAGAACAGUGUGAUAGGUCAACUUUUACUCAUGUAUCUUCUGUUUAAAAAUCAAUAGACAAAGAGCUUUGAGUAAUAAAGUUCUUGUUUAAUUAAGUGACGGGUAGGGAGCUGUAGAUAAUUCUGAUUUGUGAUAAUAUGGCUUUACAAGUUAAAACUGAUAUAGAACAAAAUCUGGAUUUGUUGUAAAUAUAUAUGGACACUAGUUCAAAAUAUGGAACGGCUACAUGUUAAUACAAACUUAGAAGAAUGUCAUUUACAAAUACAUAAUGCUUGUAGAAAAGUUAUAUCUGCAUUAGGCCUCGUUUGUCAAAUUAUGACCAGGUAUUUAUACAUGACUAUCUCUUGAGGAGUUUAUUGGGAUUCGAUCUAUAUUUAAGAGUUUAGAUUUUUAUUGUGACAAAAUCGUGUGCUUUAGUUUUAGACAUUUUACAUAUUUUCAUAGAAGGCCUGAGAGCAUUUUUUUUCUCGAUGCCAACGAAUAUGCAGUUGCAGGUUAUAUUUCAUAUGUUUCGGCUUAAAUUAUGUAGCUCAUUUCGUUUGAGAAUGUCAGACAGAAAGAAGAGUUUAACUUGGAAAUAGUUAACAACAGUAAACAGCAUCUAUAAAUUAAUUUACGACAUUAUCAUUUGAGCUGGGGAAAAUAUUGAUUGAUCGGUUUUAAAGCACUUAUGUUCUUUUUCGUGUCGGUCAGUUUUUAUUUGUGGAGGAAACCGGUGUACCCGUAGAGUACCAUCAAUCUACAGAAGAAAACUGACACCCCAGUAAAUUAAGAUUUGAGUCGAGCGUACCAGACACGUGCAGGAUUCGAACUCACAACCUCAGUGUUGACAUGCUAGUGAUACAUAAGUUUGACUUAUUGGACCACUAGGCCACCUAGUCUCUUUGGACAUUUAACAAAAUUACACAGACAAAAAGAACGUUACAAUUAUUUUUUUAUAGGUAGUUUAAAAUCAGAGCUUCGUGAAUAGCUUAAGAUGUCUAAAUAUAUGUUUAACAAAUAAUAUUGGUUUUUCUCAAAACAUUUUACGUUUUCUACAUCUAGUGUUGACGGAUUUGCAUAUGAUCGGUCAGUAUUUAAUAACAGGAUAGUUUCUCUACAUAUUUAUUUGAGUAAUAGAAUUAUCAAUCGUAAGCGAUGUGUAAAGCAAAAAAGUGAUACAUCAAUGGAAACAGCGCUAGCAAUGUACUGGCCUAUGAUUGUGAAUAAUUCUACACAUGAUUUUAACAUCUUUAUAAAAGAUUUCCGAGGGUAGAGAAAUCUAAAGUCAUGUUUAUGAUUUAACUAUGAUUCGGAUCAAAACAGUAUUUAAUUUCUAACCCGCAUUUAACAGUAACAUUUUAGUGUUGCUUGUUUAUUUUCCUAUACUGAGUAAUUUAAAUGAUUACUAAUUUAGGUAUACCUAUAUGUGUAUGUCACACAAUAUUAAAUAUUUACUAGGAAAUAAAGCAGUUUCGUUACAUAAUAAACAGUAAUAUGAUGAGAAUAUCAAAUAUGUACAUGGACAUGUUGGACUUCCAUGUACUAGAAGUUGAUGUUUAUAAUUUUGUUAUAGAUAUUUUAGAUUUGACUAAUUGAGGAUCUGUAUGAAGUUAUUUUUUUUCAUUUUUUUUUCUAUUUGCAGAUCCAAUGGAAAUGGAUUGAGGAUUAGCCAAUGGUCAAGAUUUGCCAACAUGGUUAUUGCAUUAUCCUUAAUCGGCUAACUACUCUUGCAAAAACAAAUUUUAUUUUAGAAAAUUUAGAAAAUUUUGAAUUUUGCGUGUAGAAUUGAAUUUUCUCCAGCAAUUUCUGCACUAGUACGUUUUUAUAUAUUGGUGUUUUGAUACAACAA
rnacentral:lncRNA from 1 species